AGCGAACGCUGGCGGCAGGCCUAACACAUGCCAGUCGAACGAACCUUUCGGGGUUAGUGGCGGACGGGUGAGUAACACGUGGGAACGUGCCUUUAGGUUCGGAAUAACUCAGGGAAACUUGUGCUAAUACCGAAUGUGCCCUUCGGGGGAAAGAUUAAUCGCCUUUAGAGCGGCCCGCGUCUGAUUAGCUAGUUGGUUGAGGUAAUGGCUCACCAAGGCGACGAUCAGUAGCUGGUCUGAGAGGAUGAUCAGCCACAUUGGGACUGAGACACGGCCCAAACUCCUACGGGAGGCAGCAGUGGGGAAUCUUGCGCAGUGGGCGAAAGCCUGACGCAGCCAUGCCGCGUGAAUGAUGAAGGUCUUAGGAUUGUAAAAUUCUUUCACCGGGGACGAUAAUGACGGUACCCGGAGAAGAAGCCCCGGCUAACUUCGUG
rnacentral:rRNA from 1 species